UACGGAGGGAGCUAGCGUUAUUCGGAAUUACUGGGCGUAAAGCGUACGUAGGCGGCUUUGCAAGUUAGAGGUGAAAGCCUGGAGCUCAACUCCAGAACUGCCUUUAAAACUGCAUCGCUUGAAUCCAGGAGAGGUGAGUGGAAUUCCGAGUGUAGAGGUGAAAUUCGUAGAUAUUCGGAAGAACACCAGUGGCGAAGGCGGCAUCCUGGACCGACACUGACGCUGAGGAGCGAAAGCCAGGGGAGCAAACGGG
rnacentral:rRNA from 1 species